rnacentral:misc_RNA from 1 species
UUUCCGUAGGUGAACCUGCGGAAGGAUCAUUAUCGUACAACCGAGGUGCAAAGGCUGUCGCUGACCCUCAAAGGUCGUGCACGCCCGAGCGCUCUCACACAAUCCAUCUCACCUUUGUGCAUCACCGCGUGGGUCCCCCUUUUGCGGGGAGGGCUUGCGUUUUCACAUAAAACUUGAUACAGUGUAGAAUGUUUCUUUUUGCGGUCACACGCAAUCAAUACAACUUUCAACAACGGAUCUCUUGGCUCUC